rnacentral:lncRNA from 1 species
UUAUGGUUGUGAUAGGAAUGCAUUGAACAAAUAAUGAAAGUCACUUUUAUGUGCUUUUUUCCCACAGACUCCCAGAGUGGACUGAGUCUUUGAAAAGCCCAAUCACCAUUCCAGUCUUCAGGACAGGUGAAAACUCGAUAUACUUUUUUCUCCUUAGAAUCCAGAUUCACCCUUUGAAGAAUUUAUCUCCCACUGAUUGGUUCUCUGGCUGACUGCUGUUGCCUGCUCUGAAGUUGACCUCAUGAUUUGCAAUGUAUUCUGAGGUUGCCCUUUGCUGUUGGUGUGCUUCCCACCUACACAGUUGCUGCAUUAAAAAAAAAUCCUCCCCAAUGAAAGAGAAGAUAAAGAAGAAAAGAGGAAAAGAGAAGAGGGACAAAGAGAAUCACUUCCAGGUCAGUAAUAGUUAAGAGCAAAGGCAUUCAAGUCCCUGUUAAGUCAUAUGUUAGGACUUGUAGAUUAUUGACAAAAAGAAUCAUGGAUUGUCCUUAGUUAAAUAUAUUCUUAGAGCUAGUUACAUAAUUCAAGGUGUCCACCAGAAUUGUAGUAAGACACAUAUAAUGUUAUAAGAACAG